UACGUAGGGUGCAAGCGUUGUCCGGAAUUAUUGGGCGUAAAGCGCGUGUAGGCGGCCAGAUAAGUCCGCUGUGAAAUCUCGAGGCUCAACUUCGAGCUGUCGGUGGAAACUGUCUGGCUAGAGUCCGGAAGAGGAGAGUGGAAUUCCUGGUGUAGCGGUGAAAUGCGCAGAUAUCAGGAAGAACACCAAUGGCGAAGGCAGCUCUCUGGGACGGUACUGACGCUGAGACGCGAAAGCGUGGGGAGCGAACAGG
rnacentral:rRNA from 1 species